rnacentral:rRNA from 1 species
GAUGAACGCUGGCGGCGUGCCUAAUACAUGCAAGUCGAGCGAAUGGAUUAAGAGCUUGCUCUUAUGAAGUUAGCGGCGGACGGGUGAGUAACACGUGGGUAACCUGCCCAUAAGACUGGGAUAACUCCGGGAAACCGGGGCUAAUACCGGAUAACAUUUUGAACCGCAUGGUUCGAAAUUGAAAGGCGGCUUCGGCUGUCCCUUAUGGAUGGACCCGCGUCGCAUUAGCUAGUUGGUGAGGUAACGGCUCACCAAGGCAACGAUGCGUAGCCGACCUGGGAGGGUGAUCGGCCACACUGGGACUGAGACACGGCCCAGACUCCUACGGGAGGCAGCAGUAGGGAAUCUUCCGCAAUGGACGAAAGUCUGACGGAGCAACGCCGCGUGAGUGAUGAAGGCUUUCGGGUCGUAAAACUCUGUCGUUAGGGAAGAACAAGUGCUAGUUGAAUAAGCUGGCACCUUGACGGUACCUAACCAGAAAGCCACGGCUAACUACGUGCCAGCCGCCGCGGUAA